AGGUGCUUGCACCUCUUGAGAGCGGCGGACGGGUGAGUAAUACCUAGGAAUCUGCCUGGUAGUGGGGGAUAACGUUCGGAAACGGACGCUAAUACCGCAUACGUCCUACGGGAGAAAGCAGGGGACCUUCGGGCCUUGCGCUAUCAGAUGAGCCUAGGUCGGAUUAGCUAGUUGGUGAGGUAAUGGCUCACCAAGGCUACGAUCCGUAACUGGUCUGAGAGGAUGAUCAGUCACACUGGAACUGAGACACGGUCCAGACUCCUACGGGAGGCAGCAGUGGGGAAUAUUGGACAAUGGGCGAAAGCCUGAUCCAGCCAUGCCGCGUGUGUGAAGAAGGUCUUCGGAUUGUAAAGCACUUUAAGUUGGGAGGAAGGGCAUUAACCUAAUACGUUAGUGUUUUGACGUUACCGACAGAAUAAGCACCGGCUAACUCUGUGCCAGCAGCCGCGGUAAUACAGAGGGUGCAAGCGUUAAUCGGAAUUACUGGGCGUAAAGCGCGCGUAGGUGGUUUGUUAAGUUGAAUGUGAAAU
rnacentral:rRNA from 1 species